rnacentral:rRNA from 1 species
CCUACGGGAGGCAGCAGUGAGGAAUAUUGGUCAAUGGGCGGAAGCCUGAACCAGCCAAGUCGCGUGAGGGAUGAAUGCCCUACGGGUUGUAAACCGCUUUUGCACGGGGGUAACAACCUCCACUUGUAGAGUUCUGCCAGUACCAUACGAAUAAGCACCGGCUAAUUCCGUGCCAGCAGCCGCGGUAAUACGGAGGAUGCGAGCGUUAUCCGGAUUUAUUGGGUUUAAAGGGAGCGUAGGCGGCAGUUCAAGUCAGCGGUAAAAUCGUGGGGCUUAACCUCGCUACGCCAUUGAGACUGGAGAGCUAGAGUUCAGAACAGGCAGGCGGAAUUCGUGAAGUAGCGGUGAAAUGCAUAGAUAUCACGUGGAACACCGAUUGCGAAGGCAGCCUGCCGGGCUGAGACUGACGCUGAGGCUCGAAGGCGCGGGUAGCAAACAGGAUUAGAUACCCGUGUAGUC